GAACGUAUGGCUUAGUGCUCAAAGCGCUUAGACGGUUUCCAAGAGGUGCAGGUUCAAAUCUGGCUACGUUAA
rnacentral:tRNA from 1 species